rnacentral:lncRNA from 1 species
AAAUGGCAGAGCAUGUGCAUUUCAUCAUUUAGGUUUGGUUUCUCUCACACUCUCUCUCAAGAAUUACAGAGCUGUACAGAGUGCUUUCUGCUUGGAAUGCUCCCAAUUUCAAAGUCCUUACCAAAAGAGAACAAGAAAAAUAUCUGGUAAAAAGGAUCCAGGAACAAACAUUCAUAUUGGUGAUGGAGAAAAGUAGAUUCCAACAAGCCAGCACCCAGGGAAAACUAGCAUUACCUGGGAUGGGAGAGCCGG